AGAUCAAAUUGUUGGUCGUGCCUUGGUACGCACUGGCAUUAUUGGUUUCUCCCUUCUGACGAAUCAUGAUGUCAUUAAUUUGGUGUUGUGGGGAAUCAGGACUGUUACUUUGAAAAAAUUAGAGUGUUUAAAGCAGGCUCACGCUUGAAUACAUUAGCAUGGAAUAACGGAAUAGGACGUUUGAUUCUAUUUUGUUGGUUUCUAGGAUCGACGUA
rnacentral:rRNA from 1 species